AUAUUCCUUUGGGGCAGGGUGUAAUUCCCGACCGACGGUGAUAAAGCUUAACUGCUUUUUAGUCCGUGACCCGGAUCAUUUUUGAAAAAUGUGAAGGUGGAUUUGGUGUAAAUCCAAAGCCGACAGUAACAGUCUGGAUGGGAAAAGGAAUGG
rnacentral:ncRNA from 2 species